rnacentral:rRNA from 1 species
GAUGAACGCUAGCUACAGGCUUAACACAUGCAAGUCGAACGAGACGAUUGAAAGCUUGCUUUCGAAAGUCGAGUGGCAAACGGGUGAGUAACGCGUAGACAACCUGCCUUUGAGAUGGGGACAACAGUUCGAAAGGACUGCUAAUACCGAAUGUUGUAUAUUUUCCACAUGGAAGAUAUAUUAAAGAUGGCCUCUAUUUAUAAGCUAUCGCUCAAAGAUGGGUCUGCGUCUGAUUAGCUGGUUGGUGGGGUAACGGCCUACCAAGGCGACGAUCAGUAGCCGGUCUGAGAGGAUGAACGGCCACAUUGGGACUGAGACACGGCCCAGACUCCUACGGGAGGCAGCAGUGGGGAAUCUUCCACAAUGGACGAAAGUCUGAUGGAGUAACGCCGCGUGAGUGAAGAAGGGUUUCGGCUCGUAAAGCUCUGUUGUCGGGGACGAAUGUGCAGUAUUUGAAUAAAGUACUGCAAUGACGGUACCUGACGAGGAAGCCACGGCUAACUACGUGCCAGCAGCCGCAGUAA